rnacentral:rRNA from 1 species
UACGGGAUAAUAUAUUUGAGAGGCAUCUCUUAAAUAUCAAAGGUGAGCCAGUACAGGAUGGACCCGCGUCUGAUUAGCUAGUUGGUAAGGUAACGGCUUACCAAGGCGACGAUCAGUAGCCGACCUGAGAGGGUGAUCGGCCACAUUGGAACUGAGACACGGUCCAAACUCCUACGGGAGGCAGCAGUGGGGAAUAUUGCACAAUGGGCGAAAGCCUGAUGCAGCAACGCCGCGUGAGUGAUGAAGGC